AGGACGAACGCUGGCGGCGUGCUUAACACAUGCAAGUCGAGCGAGGCCCUCCCUUCGGGGAGGUGUCCUAGCGGCGAACGGGUGAGUAACACGUGGGCAACCUGCCCUCAGCUCUGGGAUAACCCCGGGAAACCGGAGCUAAUACCGGAUACGACCUCGGAAGACAUCUUCCGAGGUGGAAAGAAUUUCGGCUGAGGAUGGGCCCGCGGCCUAUCAGCUUGUUGGUGGGGUAACGGCCCACCAAGGCGACGACGGGUA
rnacentral:rRNA from 1 species